UUCAGCUAAACCACAGUAUUUCUGUGUAGCCUUAUUGCAAAGGCGUAGUCCCUUCCAGCACCGCCCUUCCCCUGCCCUCCUUCCCUCUUUGUAACGGGAAGGCUGCACCGUGCGGGAGUGAUGUUCCCCCUCUGCCCUGUGUCUAGCUAACCUGAAGCGUUGAACACCUCUCCACUACCACUGAUGUACUUCUGCUAAAAAUGAUGCUUGAGAAGUCGUCGAAAACAUACAUCAGAACAGAGGAGUUCACCACUCACAAGGGACCCACACAAGGAUAAUACCGAUGAUAACCUGCAUCCUCUUUAUAUGUGAAAAUGUCACCUUACAAAGGCAGGCAGGCAAAAUGGCAAGAAUCUGAAGAACCUAAGAGCCCUCUUACAGCACCAGAAACUCUUCCACCAGCAUGGCCCUCCUCCUAUCAUCACUAGGACACUUCUGACUAGUGGGGAAAGGGUGUUUGUCAAAGUACUAUCAAAAAAUUGACUGUACGUCUUUCCAGUGAUGCUACUAGUUAAAUCAUAUGUGUAUUUCCUGCUAAAACCCAAGACAAUUUCAGGUACAGAUUCCUAAAGGAAAAAAAAAAAAGUGCUAAUCUUGCAAUAGGAG
rnacentral:lncRNA from 1 species